rnacentral:rRNA from 1 species
GUCUAUGACCAUGCCACCCUGAAAAAAACGGGAUCCCGCCCGAUCUCGGAAGCUAAGCAGGGUCGGGCCUGGUUAGUACUUGGAUGGGAGAUCACCUAGGAUAGACCAGGUGCUGUAGGUG